CAGUAGCCGCGGUAAUACGUAGGGUGCAAGCGUUAAUCGGAAUUACUGGGCGUAAAGCGUGCGUAGGCGGUGAGUUAAGUCUGCUGUGAAAUCCCCGGGCUCAACCUGGGAAUGGCAGUGGAUACUGGCUCGCUAGAGUGUGUCAGAGGAUGGUGGAAUUCCCGGUGUAGCGGAGAAAUGCGUAGAGAUCGGGAGGAACAUCAGUGGCGAAGGCGGCCAUCUGGGACAACACUGACGCUGAGGCACGAAAGCGUGGGGAGCAAACAGGAUUAGAUACCCCAGUAGUCCCUGUCUCUUAUAA
rnacentral:rRNA from 1 species